AUUGAACGCUGGCGGCAUGCCUUACACAUGCCAGUCGAACGGCAGCACGGGUGCUUGCACCUGGUGGCGAGUGGCGAACGGGUGAGUAAUACAUCGGAACAUGUCCUGUAGUGGGGGAUAGCCCGGCGAGAGCCGGAUUAAUACCGCAUACGAUCUACGGAUGAAAGCGGGGGACCUUCGGGCCUCGCGCUAUAGGGUUGGCCGAUGGCUGAUUAGCUAGUUGGUGGGGUAAAGGCCUACCAAGGCGACGAUCAGUAGCUGGUCUGAGAGGACGACCAGCGACACUGGGACUGAGACACGGCCCAGACUCCUACGGGAGGCAGCAGUGGGGAAUUUUGGACAAUGGGCGAAAGCCUGAUCCAGCAAUGCCGCGUGUGUGAAGAAGGCCUUCGGGUUGUAAAGCACUUUUGUCCGGAAAGAAAUCCUUGGCCCUAAUACGGUCGGGGGAUGACGGUACCGGAAGAAUAAGCACCGGCUAACUACGUG
rnacentral:rRNA from 1 species